AACGCGAAGAACCUUACCUGGGCUCGAAAUGUACAGGACACCCCUAGAAAUAGGGUCUCCCAGCAAUGGGUCUGUAUAUAGGUGCUGCAUGGCUGUCGUCAGCUCGUGUCGUGAGAUGUUGGGUUAAGUCCCGCAACGAGCGCAACCCUUAUCUCCAGUUGCUACCAUUUAGUUGAGCACUCUGGCGAAACCGCUUCGGAUAACGGAGAGGAAGGUGGGGAUGACGUCAAGUCCUCAUGGCCUUUAUGUCCAGGGCUACACACGUGCUACAAUGGCCGGUACAAACCGCUGCAACCCCGCGAGGGUGAGCUAAUCGGAAAAAGCCGGCCUCAGUUCGGAUUGGAGUCUGCAACUCGACUCCAUGAAGCUGGAAUCGCUAGUAAUCGUGGAUCAGCAUGCCACGGUGAAUACGUUCCCGGGCCUUGUACACACCGAGACGUA
rnacentral:rRNA from 1 species